UGUUUGCAAUGUGACAAAUCAUUGGAGUAGAAGUUGGAAUGCGAGAAAUUAUUUGUAUGCUAGGUAGUGAAAUUUUAUAUCGAUGUUCAAGCUCCAAGGACUGAUUCUAUUGUUGAUGUUUAUCUACCGCAGAUUUUGUCCACGAGUUUGGAGAAUCAUGAUCAGGAUGAAAUUUGAAUAUUUGUAUCAAUUUAGGAUGUUGGUAAAAUGAUCUUACCAGAUACAAGUAGUAGUAUUGCUCUAAUACUAAAGUUAAAAAUUUCCAUUUUGUAUAGCUUGCAUUAAGUAUAUUUGUGACACACUUUCAUUCGUGGCAUAACAAAAUAUCAAUGUAAGGAAGUAAACCAAGAAACUAAAUGUGAAUAUCAAAAGCAAGUACAAUACUGAGGAUGAUGUUGGUGGAGAAUUUGAUUACGCUUUUAGUUUCCUCCAUCUAGACAAGUUUAAAAAAGAUUACUCAAAUUUUGGCUGCAUGAUUGGCCUUAUUAGGGAAUUGCACUAUUUAGUACAUAAUAUACUGUUUAAUAUGCCGAUUGGUGUAUGUAAACUGCUUGGGCAUUUAUGAUUGUUUACCAUCGUAGUAUUGCCGAACCAUGGCACAGAGUUUCAGUAACAAAGAUGCAUAGAUUCAUAAUUUCAGUAGCAGUAUUGUACUCAUGUUAAGAUUGUUGUCUCUCUGCUCUUAAUAUGUCUGAUCCAUAUAUACUUCUAUUCCUGGUAUAUCCACUACGUUUCAGUAACAAAGACGCAUAGAUUCAUAAUUCAGUAGCAGUAUGUAAUUUUGUGGCUUAAUUAUUUCUGGACUAAUUAACGAUUAAUAAUUUCAUUGUGAAACAUUCCUCUUCUCAUAUUCCUGCCAUAUCUGCACCUUCUCUGUGUCAUGUGUCAGUACCAAAAGAUGUUGCUUCCAUGUUAAUAAGCUCUUAUCUUGCGAUUGAAUCUGUGCCAGUUUACACAUUCUGUCACAUGAGAUCGAUCAGCUAUUUAGUUUAUUCAGUUAGAUAUAAAUAUUUAUCAUUGCACUAUUAUUUAAAAGUAUAUACUAAGGGAAAUAGAAGUACUAACUACUUACUUGGAUUAACUAUGCAAAUCGCUGAAAUGGCACCAUUUCUCUCUUAGUAGAAUCACUUAAAUGCCUCCUCCAGUUGCAAGGAGGUUCUUGCUUUUUUAUUAUGCACACAAUCUAUCCCACCAAGAUUAAUACUAUUCAUGCUAGCAGGCCUUACAAGAUUAAAGUGAAAUCUCUUAUAUUAUUCAGAACAUUUAUGUAUGAUUGUUGGUUGUUAAUCACUAUAUGAAACUAUUAUAUUGUUUAGUAUUUUCACGGCCAAAGAGACACACAUGCUACAGUAGAAAUAAUUUUGAUACUUUUAUGUACUUACAGGUUAGUGGGGAAUGGAACAUGCCCUGAAGUUUGCAUUUCCAGCUAUGUUUGUCCACCAAGGCAUACACCAUUAUUAAAUUUGCAUGUGCAUAGUUUUACCUCAUCUAUAAAUCUGUGACUGAUGAUAUGCGGUAAUUGUUGUAUAUUUUUUCAUAAUAGCAUGCUACAGCCAUAAUAUCUUUGUAAGGCACAUAUAGUUUUUAUUUCCAUAUGCAAAUACUGUUCAAAGCAAUAUAUAUUUCUAUUCUUUUAUUGAUCGUAUAACCAUCUGACAAGCAUAUAACUCAAUUAAAAGAUGUAAUUUAAGGAAAUUUAUAGAAAAAGAUGAUAAUUGAAUAAAAUGAGUGAUUUACUGUAUAUCAAAUGUUACCAUGAAUAUAUUAUAUUCAAUAAUUUACUAAAAUAUAUAGAAGCAUAAAGAAAAGUAAGAGAUAAAAAAGAAUGAAAUGCAAAAAUGGCAUGGUCUCCUGACGUAGGCUUGCACACUCCGCCGCCUCUGCCUACCUCGGUAUGUGUGCAUGUGAUGGAUCUCAUGUUGGUUUGGUCUGCUAAGUGCCGGUGCUGAAAGCUUUUUUUUUCUUUUGCUGCAGGUCCAUGUAGUGAUGAUCCAGAUUUGCAUUCGGGAAAUCAUUCUGAGAAAAAUGAAGAGGCAGCUAUUCCCAUAUGGUGCUGAGAAGUUAGGGAAGAAGGUGUUGUGAAUUUGUGAUACAUGCCUUUGUCGUAUCACUAUAUGCGUUUUUCCCCAGUUGUGCGAUUCCUGACUUGGUCAUAACUGUAUUAUCAAAAUGUGUGGAACUCCAAGUAGCUGCUCCAAGUAGCAUGUUGCAUCAGAAAGGCGUUUGCUGCAUCCUCAGGAUGGCGUGUGCUCUUGUGUUUUGUCUGUGCGUCAUCGUCAUGUAGUAUAUAUGAAGCCGAACCUGAUAUGUUGUUUAGGUCGAUGUGCAAGUAUGCUACCUGAACACUCUUGAACUUUGGCCAUGUACUAUCUACGUUUGUGUGAUGUUUAUGAUGUAUGAUAUGCCAGAGUAUGUUGUGCGUUA